AUGAGGAAAUAAUGAAUGAAUAUUUCUUUCCAUGGUAGGAUUAAUUUUAAAUCUACCUCCAUGGAGAAAAUAGUUUUAAAACAUCAGACAUAAAUCGCAAUCUUAUACAUGUACAUGGAUUCACAUUCUCUCCAACCUGAUUUUGAAUUGAAAUCAACUUCAUUAUUGAUUACAAGAAAUAAUUCCACUUCCAUGGUUUGAUUGCUAUAUACAGAUAAUUAUGCACUGGAUUCUGUAGUACAAGUCAUACAGAUGCAUGUUUAUGUAUGUAUUUAAAUGAUUUCUGGUGAGGUGAUGAAAUGGAUGUAAAGUGUUUCAUAGACCUGCAUUAUUGGUGUGUUUUGACAUGAAUAUCUGUGUCACUUGUUAGUUAUUGUAUGUGGUUAUGUGUAUAUUUUUCUUUUUUGUCCAGUUGUUUGUUUGUUCCUUUCUAUCAUUAUUUGACAUACAUAUAUGUAUCAAACUA